rnacentral:rRNA from 1 species
UGAGGAAUAUUGGACAAUGGAGGCAACUCUGAUCCAGCCAUGCCGCGUGCAGGAUGACUGCCCUAUGGGUUGUAAACUGCUUUUAUACAGGAAGAAACACUCUCUCGAGUAGAGAGCUUGACGGUACUGUAAGAAUAAGGAUCGGCUAACUCCGUGCCAGCAGCCGCGGUAAUACGGAGGAUCCAAGCGUUAUCCGGAAUCAUUGGGUUUAAAGGGUCCGUAGGUGGAUAAUUAAGUCAGAGGUGAAAUCCUGCAGCUCAACUGUAGAAUUGCCUUUGAUACUGGUUAUCUUGAGUUAUUAUGAAGUAGUUAGAAUAUGUAGUGUAGCGGUGAAAUGCAUAGAUAUUACAUAGAAUACCAAUUGCGAAGGCAGAUUACUAAUAAUCAACUGACGCUGAUGGACGAAAGCGUGGGGAGCGAACA